rfam:Myotis davidii contig20627, whole genome shotgun sequence.
GGCAAUUCUUGGGCGACACACCCUGGAAUGGGGCUCCCUCCUCUCUGGUUCUGGGUGCUCUGGUUCCAGGUGUGUCACCUGAGAACCGCA